ACUCAAAUGAAUAGACGGGGACCCGCACAAGCAGAGGAACAUGUGGUUUAAUUCGACGGUAAGCGAAGAACCUCACCCAGAUUUGACAUGUAGCUGCAAGCCGCUAGAAACAGUGGCCGCCUUCGAGGGUGCUACACAGGUGCUGCAUGGUUGCCGUCAGCUCGUGUCGUGAGAUGUACCGUUAAGUCGGGUAACGAGCGCAACCCCUGUCCCGUGUUGUAUUUCACGGGAGACCGCCUCGGAUAACGGGGAGGAAGGUGGGGACGACGUCAAAUCAGCAUGGCUCUUACAUCUGGGGCUACACACGUGUUACAAUGGCAUGGACAAUGGGCUGCCAAACCGCAAGGUGGAGCUAAUCCCAACAAACCAUGCCCCAGUUCGGAUUGGGGGCUGCAAUUCGCCCCCAUGAAGCCGGAUUUGCUAGUAACGGCGAAUCAGCCACGUCGCCGUGAAUACGUUCUCGGGUCUUGUACACACCGCCCGU
rnacentral:rRNA from 1 species